rnacentral:rRNA from 1 species
GGGUGCGUAACGCGUAUACAAUCUGCCCUUUACUAAGGGAUAGCCCAUGGAAACGUGGAUUAAUAUCUUAUAGUAUCAGGAGGUCGCAUGGCCACUUGUUUAAAGGUUACGGUAAAGGAUGAGUAUGCGUCCUAUUAGCUAUUAUGUAGGGUAACGGCCUACAUAGGCGAUGAUAGGUAGGGGUUCUGAGAGGGAGAUCCCCCACACUGGUACUGAGACACGGACCAGACUCCUACGGGAGGCAGCAGUGAGGAAUAUUGGACAAUGGGAGCAAUCCUGAUCCAGCCAUGCCGCGUGCAGGAAGACGGUCCUAUGGAUUGUAAACUGCUUUUAUACAGGAAGAAAAAGCCCGACGAGUCGGGUGUUGACGGUACUGUAUGAAUAAGGAUCGGCUAACUCCGUGCCAGCAGCCGCGGUAAUACGGAGGAUCCGAGCGUUAUCCGGAAUUAUUGGGUUUAAAGGGUCCGUAGGCGGGAUAAUAAGUCAGUGGUGAAAGUUUGUGGCUCAACCAUAAAAUUGCCAUUGAUACUGUUAUUCUUGAGUAAUUGUGAAGUGGUUAGAAUGUGUAGUGUAGCGGUGAAAUGCAUAGAUAUUACACAGAAUACCAAUUGCGAAGGCAGAUCACUAACAAUUAACUGACGCUGAUGGACGAAAGCGUAGGUAGCGAACAGGAUUAGAUACCCUGGUAGUCUACGCAGUAAACGAUGGUUACUAGCUGUUUGGUCUAAUUGAGGGCUAAGUGGCUAAGCGAAAGUGAUAAGUAACCCACCUGGGGAGUACGUUCGCAAGAAUGAAACUCAAAGGAAUUGACGGGGGCCCGCACAAGCGGUGGAGCAUGUGGUUUAAUUCGAUGAUACGCGAGGAACCUUACCAGGGCUUAAAUGCAGUCUGACAGGGGUAGAAAUACCUUUUUCUUCGGACAGAUUGCAAGGUGCUGCAUGGUUGUCGUCAGCUCGUGCCGUGAGGUGUCAGGUUAAGUCCUAUAACGAGC